AAGCCCUUGCGCGCGCUUGGUCCCCGUGUUCGCGCGGGGUGAAAAGGGAAUGGGGUGCAAGUCCCCGGCUGGACCCGCAACUGUAAGCGGCGAGCCAUGCCGUCAUCAUGCCACUGGGUUUCGGCCCGGGAAGGCGACGGCAUCGGCGCUGACCCGCGAAGCCAGGAGACCUGCCCGGCGCCGAUCGUCCAU
rnacentral:ncRNA from 2 species